rnacentral:rRNA from 1 species
GUGGGGAAUCUUGCGCAAUGGGCGAAAGCCUGACGCAGCCAUGCCGCGUGAAUGAUGAAGGUCUUAGGAUUGUAAAAUUCUUUCACCGGGGACGAUAAUGACGGUACCCGGAGAAGAAGCCCCGGCUAACUUCGUACCAGCAGCCGCGGUAAUACGAAGGGGGCUAGCGUUGCUCGGAAUUACUGGGCGUAAAGGGCGCGUAGGCGGACAGUUUAGUCAGAGGUGAAAGCCCAGGGCUCAACCUUGGAAUUGCCUUUGAUACUGGCUGUCUUGAGUACGGGAGAGGUGAGUGGAACUCCGAGUGUAGAGGUGAAAUUCGUAGAUAUUCGGAAGAACACCAGUGGCGAAUGCGACUCACUGGCCCGUUACUGACGCUGAGGCGCGAAAGCGUGGGGAGCAAACAGGAUUAGAUACCCGGGUAGUCC